UGGCUUCUUUGGGGACGCCAUGAAGGCCACGGCCACUGCCUGCCGGCCCUGCCCUUGCCCAUACAUCGAUGCCUCCCGCAGAUUCUCAGACACUUGCUUCCUGGACACGGAUGGCCAAGCCACAUGUGACGCCUGUGCCCCAGGCUACACUGGCCGCCGCUGUGAGAGCUGUGCCCCCGGAUACGAGGGCAACCCCAUCCAGCCCGGCGGGAAGUGCAGGCCCGUCAGUGAGUAUGGCUGCCACCAUCCCCUGACACCCACCUCCCAACCCAACCUGGGCUGCACACCAGGCACCCUCCCUCCCUGCCCCAGCUCAUGAACCUUGGGGAGCCACUGUUCCUCUAUCUGCCUGGACCACGUAUAUCCCAUUCCCACCUGCCCUGCCAACACUCGUUUUGUGUCCCAGACCAGGAGAUUGUGCGCUGUGACGAGCGUGGCAGCAUGGGGACCUCCGGGGAGGCCUGCCGCUGUAAGGCAACAAGACUGAAACUCCGUCUCAA
rnacentral:sRNA from 1 species